rnacentral:lncRNA from 1 species
AGAUCUCUCUCUCUGCGGAAGCCAGCCACCGCUCUCCAAGGACUCUCGAGCAGCUCCAUCUACAGAUUCACAUGGAGAAGAAUUAAGGGUUCCUGCCAAUCACCAGCACCACUUUGCCAGCCUUGUAAGUGGGCCACCUUGGAAUUGGAGCCUCCAGUUCCUACUGACAUCUGACUGCAACAUCAUGAGAGACCCUGAGUUUGAACCACCCAGCUGAGCUGCUUCUGAGCUAACCCACUGAAACCGUGAAAGUACCUGAAUGAAACAACACCCAGUAGCCACUAGCACACCUAGCUCCCAGAUCUGUUUUUGAUGCCAUUCUUCAGUAAAAGGAAGCAAGGCUGCUUGGAGAAAUUGCUAUCAAGGACUGGGGUAGAAAAUAUACAAGAUGAAAUUGGAGCAUCUUGUAGUGCUUGAAAACAGUUGGCAUCUGUGUGAAGAUGUGAAUGGAGGAGGCAGAGUAGGCAGUGAGUGCCGCAGCCACAGCUUGUGUUCUCUGCAGCCCUGGCACAGAAGAUAGGAACACUCAUGGGGGAUGCGGCCACUGUGAUGUCUUCCCACACAAGAAGUGCCAAGUGCUUUUCUCAUGCUUUUCUGGAUUGUCCCAUGGUGGACGAGUCAGCAGGAGUGAGAUGGAGCAGCACAGUAGAGGGGCCAGGAUAUCGUUGUACAUAUUCUCAGCUAAGUGAGCACCAAUAGAGGAGAGGGAGAGUCUCAUGGAAGUUCCUUCUAAGCCUUUGGCUCUUUUUACCUUCAACAAGGUGUGCCACCUCUUUGAUCCAGCAAGUGGGAAGAACAGUCCCGGCCUCUUUGCACACAAGACCGUGAUACCAAUGCACCAUCACAGGCCCCACAGGGGAGCUGUCCGCUUCCCCACACAGCUGCUAGGGGCUCUUUUGCAUGUUCCCAACCUUUCCUGCCUUUAUCUGAUAUUCGUUCCUUAGAUCCUGGGAUGAGGAGGUGGACCAGCAGAAGGUGGGCUUGUGAAGGCAGCCCGGGGUCCAAAUCCUCCUGGCUCUUCAGCUUAGCGGGAUGUCACCUUCAGCGUCUGAAAGCUGGGUUUGAUGCGUCUGGAAAGGCGUCCCUGACAGGCGUCGUUGCCAGGAGCCCCUAGUGCCACCAGCAGCCAGCAGGGGAGGGCGUCCUCUGCCCGCUCACUUCUGACCCUUCUCUCGUUGCACCCGGAACAUGGUGCAGCUGGGAGCAGCCUGGGCUGCGCGGAAGGCUCAGAUUUGGGGACGGCCCUUGCCAGUGACUGUGAGCUGGGGUGUCUUGGAAACUCCCAGUCUCAGCUUCUCCAUUUAUAAGAUGAGAAUGAUCAUACCAGACUCAGGCAAGGUUGUUUGUGCAUUAGUGAAAUCAGACGUAUUAAAUAAAGUACCACAUUGAUCGUGGAGUUGUUGAAUAACCAAGAA